rnacentral:rRNA from 1 species
GACGAACGCUGGCGGCGUGCUUAACACAUGCAAGUCGAACGGGAUCCAAAGGCUUUUUGUUUUUGGUGAGAGUGGCGAACGGGUGAGUAACACGUGAGUAACCUGCCCCCUUCUUUUGGAUAACCGCAUGAAAGUGUGGCUAAUACAGGAUAUUCCAGGCUGGUCGCAUGAUUGGUUUGGGAAAUGGUUUGGUCUGGUGGGGGAUGGGCUCGCGGCCUAUCAGCUUGUUGGUGGGGUGAUGGCCUACCAAGGCGGUGACGGGUAGCCGGCCUGAGAGGGUGGGCGGUCACACUGGGACUGAGAUACGGCCCAGACUCUUACGGGAGGCAGCAGUGGGGGAUUUUGCACAAUGGGCGCAAGCCGGAUGCAGCGACGCCGCGUGAGGGAUGAAGGCCUUCGGGUUGUAAACCUCUUUCGCUGGGUUGAAAGGCCAUGCUUUGGGUGUGGUUGAUUUGAACUGGUAAAGAAGUACCGGCUAACUACGUG